GAUGAACGCUGGCGGCGUGCCUAAUACAUGCAAGUCGAGCGGCAACACGGUCUUCGGAAUGGUGGCGAGCGGCGGACGGCUGAGUAACGCGUAGGAACGUGCCCCAAAGUGAGGGAUAAGCAUCAGAAAUGGUGUCUAAUACCGCAUGUGGUCUCCGGAUCAAAGCCUUCGGGCGCUAUGGGAACGGCCUGCGUCUGAUUAGCUAGUUGGUGAGGUAACGGCUGACCAAGGCGACGAUCAGUAGCUGGUCUGAGAGGAUGACCAGCCAGACUGGGACUGAGACACGGCCCAGACUCCUACGGGAGGCAGCAGUAGGGAAUCUUCCACAAUGGGCGAAAGCCUGAUGGAGCAACGCCGCGUGCAGGAUGAAUGCCUUCGGGUUGUAAACUGCUUUUGUUAGUGACGAUUAUGACGGUAACUAGCGAAUAAGGAUCGGCUAACUCCGUGCCAGCCGCCGCCGUAA
rnacentral:rRNA from 1 species